rnacentral:tRNA from 1 species
GCGCUGGUGCUGGAAUUGGCAGACAGGCAUGGUUGAGGGCCAUGUGACGCAAGUCAUGGGGGUUCAAGUCCCCCCCAGCGCACAA